rnacentral:rRNA from 13 species
AUAUCCGGUGAUCCCGUCGGCCGAGAAAAGCUUCGGCGUGAGGUCUUGGGCCGCUCGUACCCCAAACCGACACAGGUGGUUGGGUAGAGAAUACCAAGGCGCUUGAGAGAACUCGGGUGAAGGAACUAGGCAAAAUGGUACCGUAACUUCGGGAGAAGGUACGCCGGUUUUGGU